AUUGAACGCUGGCGGCAGGCCUAACACAUGCAAGUCGAGCGGCAGCGGGAAAGUAGCUUGCUACUUUUGCCGGCGAGCGGCGGACGGGUGAGUAAUGCCUGGGAAAUUGCCCAGUCGAGGGGGAUAACAGUUGGAAACGACUGCUAAUACCGCAUACGCCCUACGGGGGAAAGCAGGGGACCUUCGGGCCUUGCGCGAUUGGAUAUGCCCAGGUGGGAUUAGCUAGUUGGUGAGGUAAUGGCUCACCAAGGGGACGAUCCCGAGCUGGUCUGAGAGGAUAAUCAGCCACACUGGAACUGAGACACGGUCCAGACUCCUACGGGAGGCAGCAGUGGGGAAGAUUGCACAAUGGGGGAAACCCUGAUGCAGCCAUGCCGCGUGUGUGAAGAAGGCCUUCGGGUUGUAAAGCACUUUCAGCGAGGAGGAAAGGUUGAUGCCUAAUACGUAUCAACUGUGACGUUACUUGCAGAAGAAGCACCGGCUAACUCCGUGCCAGCCGCCGCCGUAACAC
rnacentral:rRNA from 1 species